rnacentral:lncRNA from 1 species
UGAAGGGCAUGUUGCUCUCAUCGGAGGGGCAGUAACUGUCGUCAAAAGGCAAGGGCUAAUGGCCGCCGAAACGUGAUUCUCCAUGGUGGUGUGUAAGAUUGAAAUGUGAACCUAUCAAAGGGACACUCACGAAGGAUUUUUCCUCCUUGAUGGUGGACAGGUGAGGGGUUUUUUUGCUAAUUGUGCUUAAGUGGAUCAUUAAACAUCCCACCUUUGAUUAGUGUCCUUCAUUAUAGAUCUAAUGUACCACGUGAGAAUUUCAGAUUUUCACUGGAAACCUAUUUUCACCUGAUGCUUCGCCUAAAAGAAAACCCAAAAAUAUUUCCUCUUGCAUGUUGGG